GAUGAACGCUGGCGGCGUGCCUAAUACAUGCAAGUCGAGCGAACAGACGAGGAGCUUGCUCCUCUGACGUUAGCGGCGGACGGGUGAGUAACACGUGGAUAACCUACCUAUAAGACUGGGAUAACUUCGGGAAACCGGAGCUAAUACCGGAUAAUAUAUUGAACCGCAUGGUUCAAUAGUGAAAGACGGUUUUGCUGUCACUUAUAGAUGGAUCCACGCCGCAUUAGCUAGUUGGUAAGGUAACGGCUUACCAAGGCAACGAUGCGUAGCCGACCUGAGAGGGGGAUCGGCCACACGGGAACGGAGACACGGUCCAGACUCCUACGGGAGGCAGCAGUAGGGAAUCUUCCGCAAUGGGCGAAAGCCUGACGGAGCAACGCCGCGUGAGUGAUGAAGAUCUUCGGAUCGUAAAACUCUGUUAUUAGGGAAGAACAAAUGUGUAAGUAACUAUGCACGUCUUGACGGUACCUAAUCAGAAAGCCACGGCUAACUACGUG
rnacentral:rRNA from 1 species